rnacentral:rRNA from 1 species
UCCGAAGGGUGCAAGCGUUACUCGGAAUUACUGGGCGUAAAGCGUGCGUAGGUGGUUUGUUAAGUCUGAUGUGAAAGCCCUGGGCUCAACCUGGGAAUUGCAUUGGAUACUGGCAGGCUAGAGUGCGGUAGAGGAUGGCGGAAUUCCCGGUGUAGCAGUGAAAUGCGUAGAGAUCGGGAGGAACAUCUGUGGCGAAGGCGGCCAUCUGGACCAGCACUGACACUGAGGCACGAAAGCGUGGGGAGCAAACAGG